rnacentral:rRNA from 1 species
GAUGGAUUGGUGCCUUCGGGAACUCUGACACAGGUGCUGCAUGGCUGUCGUCAGCUCGUGUCGUGAGAUGUUGGGUUAAAGUCCCGUAACGAGCGCAACCCUUGUCCUUAGUUACCAGCACGUUAUGGUGGGCACUCUAAGGAGACUGCCGGUGACAAACCGGAGGAAGGUCGGGGAUGACGUCAAGUCAUCAUGGCCCUUACGGCCUGGGCUACACACGUGCUACAAUGGUCGGUACAAAGGGUUGCCAAGCCGCGAGGUGGAGCUAAUCCCAUAAAACCGAUCGUAGUCCGGAUCGCAGUCUGCAACUCGACUGCGUGAAGUCGGAAUCGCUAGUAAUCGUGAAUCAGAAUGUCACGGUGAAUACGUUCCCGGGCCUU